UACGGAGGAUGCAAGCGUUAUCCGGAAUUAUUGGGCGUAAAGAGCUUGUAGGCGGUCUGUCGCGUCUGCUGUGAAAAUCCGGGGCUCAACCCCGGACUUGAAGUGGGUACGGGCAGACUAGAGUGUGGUAGGGGAGACUGGAAUUCCUGGUGUAGCGGUGAAAUGCGCAGAUAUCAGGAGGAACACCGAUGGCGAAGGCAGGUCUCUGGGCCACUACUGACGCUGAGAAGCGAAAGCAUGGGGAGCGAACAGG
rnacentral:rRNA from 1 species